rnacentral:lncRNA from 1 species
CUUUUCGAGGUCGGCCGCGUGGCUGGAAGACAUGGCCACUCCAGUCGGUGUUGAGCACGGCGAGCAGUCUCAGGCCUUUAGUGAUGAUGGUGCAGUCAGCCUCAGUUUCCAAAGCCGGAAAAGGAUCCUCUAGUAGCCACGGUGUGGCAGCUGCUCUGAACCAGGACCUGGACCCGGACCCAAAGUGCCAUGUCUUUAAUGUUAGCUCCCAGCGAUGCCAGAUGGGAUCAGCACAGCCCUGCCUCUGCUGCUAAUUGUUCCUCUAAAGUAAUCGCCAUGCGUUCUUUGGGCUUCAUCUUUAAAGGAAUGAAGCAACUGAGAUUAUUCUGGAAAACCUUUUGGCAGUUAGUGAAAUUAGAGUACAACUAAGAACAUUUUCAGACCUCCACUGUGGAUGACCUGGGUAUAAUCUCACAAAUCGAUGGGACUGCAAGGAUUGUAAACUGAAAUGAACAUGAUUAUACUCUGUUGGAAGAGCCUAAGAGGAAACUGAUGCCAUGAGUUUCAGAGAGUAAUGCUUAACCCCAGUUACACAGGAUGCCGUCUUGUGUUUCCUCUUGUUUAGUUACCCACUACAGUGAUUUUGUGAUCUGCUAAUGGGUUGCCACCCACAACCAUUGCUUUAGCACUUUUACUUCAAAUCAAUGAAGGAUUGAUAAAAGUUCUCCUGGUGUCUCCGCAGAGUGCCUUCCAGGAACAGAUCUUUGCAUAGAAUAUCAGUGGUUUCCUUUUUUGUUUCAAAUAGUGGUCAGAAAAUACCCAGUGUUGACUCACCAAGGCAAUCAGCUUCCUUUUUCCCUUUUUUUGUUUUUUUUUUAACAUUUUAUAUUUUUGCUUUAUUUUAUUUUAUUUUAUUUUUUGAGACGGAGUUCCACUCUGUCGCCAGGCUGGAGUGAAGUGGUACAAUCUUGGCUCACUGCAACCUCCACCUCCCGGGUUCAAGCAAUUCUCCUGGCUCAGCCUCCUGAGUGCUGGGACUACAGGCGCGUACCUUCUUUAGUAGAGACUGGGUUUCACCAUGUUGGCCAGGAUGGUCUCUAUCUCCUGACCUUGUGAUCUGCCUGCCUCAGCUUCCCAAAGUGCUGAGAUGACAGGUGUGAGCCAUCAGACCCAGCAUUUUUUUUUUUAAUUUAAAUUUAAAUUUUUUUUCAUUUUUUUGAGAGGUUUUUUUUGUUUUGUUUUGUUGUUGUUGUUGUUGUUGUUUUUGAGACAGUCUUGCUCUGUCACCCAGGCUGGGAGUGCAGUGGCAUGAUCUCUGCAACCUCUACCUCCCAGGUUCAAGCAAUUCUUGUGCCUCAGCCUCCCAAGUAACUGGGACUACAGGUGCACGCUACCACACCUGGCUGAUUUUUUUUGUUUUAGUAGAGACAGGGUUUCAACCAUGUUGCCCAGGUUGGUCUCAAACUCCUGAGCUCAGGCAAUCCACCCGCCUUGGCCUCCCAAAGUGCUAGGAUUACAGGUGUGAGCCACCACACCCAGCUAUUUUUUCUUUCGUUUUUUAAUUUUAAAGUUGGGGGGGGGUCUCAAUUUGUUACCCUGGCUGGUCUCGAACUCCCGGACUUAAGCGAUCCUCUGGCUCCAAGCCCACUACCAGUCUCAGGUUUCUUUACUAAAAGAUCACUACCUUUUUUUCUCUUAUCUGCUGCCAUGUGAGAUGUGGCUUUCACCUUCCGCCAUGAUUGUGAGGCCUUCCCAGCCAUGUAGAACUGUAAGUCCAAUAAACCUCUUUUGUAAAUUAAAAAAAAAAAAUCACUAUUUAAGAUACUAGGAUGGAUUGUGACUGUUGAGGAGUACUUACAUAUCCUACAUUUGACUACAUUAUUUCCAAACCAAGUAUUCCAUCCAAAGGAACAUACUGCUAUCAUAGAGACCAAGGAGGGACUGUUUAAGGUUGCCAAGGUGAAGCGAGCUGAGAGGCUUUGUCCUCGUGCCAGUAACUCUGAAAUCUCUCUUAAUUCCUGCUGUCCAGGCAGCAGAAUGCCAUGGUUUCCCCAAGUAGGUAGCUGCUUUAGCAGUUAAAGCCCAAAUGUCUGUUCUGUUGAUCAGAGGUCUCUGAAUUUCUGAAGUGGUGUUUCGUUUCUGGUGACUGAGUUAAUCCUUUACAAUCCCUCUUGUAAAGUGUGCUAAUAGAAAGAAUCCACCUUUCAAAGCUGCAGAACCAGACCGUGCCCUAAAUUGACCAACGUAACUGAUGUGCCUCAGGAAGUCUCUUGCCAGCUGUCCCUGUGAAGACCCCCCUCCUCCCCCCCAGCUGCUGCCUUGCACACUGAAGCAUCUCAGACUGUGCAAAGCCGUGUAGUCAUCAAGACAGUAAAUCCCAGGGCUUGGUUAAGUGCUGUGUGAUAACUUGUUUGGAUGAGACUUAACUUAAAACCACUUACAAUAAACUUGGGAAACUAC